ensembl:lncRNA
UACAAAUUUACCCGUGCUACUUAUGCUCCAGGGUCACAAAUGACCUUUUACCUUAUGGAUCUUUGCCCUAUGUGUCCUUGCCUUAUGGAUCCUUAUGUACCAUUUGCGUUAUGUAUCUUAGAUGGCCUUGCCAAGAUAAAUGGGCACAGCAGGUCACACGAGCGCCAGAGACCACGACCCUGCAACGAUUCUGACCCAGAGCUAUCGAGAGGCUCUGACGCCUCAGAAAACGAGUCAUCAUCAUCUGUCAGUCGCCGGCCGAUGACCCGCAAGACCGCCAUGGCAGCAGUCAGUAAGAUGAAACUCAUGGAUACCCUGGAAGAAGAUGAAGGCUCUGAUGAGGAGGGUCAUGGAGGCAGCACCCGACCUGCAACCCGUGCUAGCAAACGCUCUGCUGUCAUUCAGAGCAGUUCUGAUUCAGAAGAAGAGGAAGAAGUGUCAAAUGAAAGUGAUGUUUCAGCCAGUGAAGAAGAGAAAAGUGAUGGCAGCGCUGACAGUGAUUCAUCUCAAAGCAAAGUGGAGAAUAGAACUUCUGGGCGCAGACCAUGUAGACGAUCAGCAGAGAAAAAGGGUGUGUUUGGUAGAAUCCCAACCAUCGUUGAACUGUUGAGCUCUACAAUCAGCAUGAAAUCCAGAUUUAAUUGAUCUACACAUUCCUGGUUUUGCACAAUUUGUUAUCAUUAAGUAGUGUUACCCACAAGAUUUUGUCAGGCUGUGGUGGCUUGGCAUGCCCCCCCCCCCCGGAAGAAAAUUUUGUACAUUUUCAAGUUAAAUUCCUUCGUCUGGUCCACUUUGAGAGUUCAGAAUUAACAGCUCCAACACAUGUUCAGUGUGCAAACUUAAAGAGAAAAGUCGGUGAAUUGACUACCUGAACUUUAAAGGGGACUCAACCCUCUUUUUAAUUGUGGUAUAGUGUCUCAGUCUAAAUUACAUCCACACUGGAAUUAUAAGAAGCCAAACAAAUUAGAAUGUCGCAAUAAUAAUGUAAUUUUAUAUUAUUAUUAUUAUUCCUGUUACAGUGAUAGCCAUAUAUUUUAAAACAGUUGCGC